rnacentral:rRNA from 1 species
UGGCGACGGGUGAGUAACACGUGAGCAACCUGCCUUCAAGAGUCGGAAUAGCUUCUGGAAACGGAUGGUAAUACCGCAUAACAUUACCGGACCGCAUGAUCUGGUAAUCAAAGAUUUAUCGCUUGAAGAUGGGCUCGCGUCUGAUUAGAUAGUUGUGGGGUAACGGGCCUACCAAGUCGACGAUCAGUAGCCGGACUGAGAGGUUGAACGGCCACAUUGGGACUGAGACACGGCCCAGACUCCUACGGGAGGCAGCAGUGGGGGAAUAUUGCACAAUGGGCGCAAGCCUGAUAGCAGCGAUGCCGCGUGGAGGAAGAAGGUUUUCGGAUUGUAAACUCCUUAUCUGAGGGACGAUAAUGACGGUACCUCAGGAGAAAGCUCCGGCUAACUACGUGCCAGCAGCCGC